GCGCCUCCACUUUUGUAAGACUGGCUAUUAUUGUUUGUUUUGCAUUUGGGGGAUAUGGCUGCAUAAAGGAACUUUUUCAAGUAAUGAGCGUGUUAAUAUUCUUCUUGGUCACGUUUGCUACAGCCUUUGCGGUGAUUAUGAACGAUGGAGAUGGAUUUGAAAACUUUGUUCACGCCAUUUUAACAGCAGCUGUGAUGAUGAUGGGUGUGUUUGAUUUCAAACAGACGUUCCUUCACAAUACCAAUCCUGAGUACGAUGCAUUUGAUAUGCUGUGAUUCAUUUUAUUUGUCCUGUUUCUUGUGUUCGUGUCAGUCAUCAUAAUGAAUCUAUUGCUUGCGUUUGCCAUUGAAGACACCAGUGACGAGUUCAAGAAAAAAAUGAAGAAAAAAAAAUCGUUCGAACCGUGAGUCCUCAAACUUUUAUUGAUCAGUGAGAAUAGUCUUCUAAUCAAGUAAGGCACAAAUUGUUUGAUCCAGAGAGGUUAGUUCAGAAUGACAACAUAGAACAAGAACAGUGGUAAAGCUCAAAAUAGUUUGAUUCAGAGAGGUUAGUUGGGAAUGACGGCAUAGAACAAGAACAGUGAUAAAGCUCAAAAUAGUUUGAUUCAGAGAGGUUGUUUGGGAAUGACAGCAUAGAACAAGAACGGUGUUUAGUGUUAGUGUAGAUCGUGAUGAAUGAAAAAUAGAAAACCACAACAGUCUCCACCGUACCUAAAAUAAAAACUAAACUAAAAUGUGCCAAAUCUGGUGAUAAAGACUGAGCAACCGAGAACAACAACAGUCUUUACUCUACUCGAAAUAUUAACUAAGAUAUCGUGUGUCAGUAAAGGUAGGGAUGAAUGAACAACAGAGAACGAGAACAGUCUCUACUCUAUCUAAAAUAUAAACUAAGAUAACGUGCGUCAGUGCAGGUAGUGAUGAAUGAACAGCAGAAAACAGGAACUAUUUCAAAAAAGGGAAAGAAAAGGCCUCUAACAUAUGCUGGUGCACAGCAGUUUUUUUUU